rnacentral:rRNA from 1 species
AGUGAACGCUGGCGGUAGGCCUAACACAUGCAAGUCGAACGGCAGCACAGUAAGAGCUUGCUCUUACGGGUGGCGAGUGGCGGACGGGUGAGGAAUACAUCGGAAUCUACUUUUUCGUGGGGGAUAACGUAGGGAAACUUACGCUAAUACCGCAUACGACCUACGGGUGAAAGCAGUGGAUCUUCGGACCUUGCGCGAUUGAAUGAGCCGAUGUCGGAUUAGCUAGUUGGCGGGGCAAAGGCCCACCAAGGCGACGAUCCGUAGCUGGUCUGCGAGGAUGAUCAGCCACACUAGAACUGAGACACGGUCCAGACUCCUACGGGAGGAAGCAGUGGGGAAUAUUGGACAAUGGGCGCAAGCCUGAUCCAGCCAUACCGCGUGGGUGAAGAAGGCCUUCGGGUUGUAAAGCCCUUUUGUUGGGAAAGAAAAGCAGCAGGUUAAUACCCCGCUGUUCUGACGGUACCCAAAGAAUAAGCACCGGCUAACUUCGUG